AUAGGAAAAUGGGAAUUGAAUCACGGUGAGAGUUAUUCAAUAGCUAAAUUAAAAUAAAGACUUCUAAUAUUUGAAUUUCUAAUAUUCAAUAGCUAAAUUAAAAUAAAGACUUCUAAUAUUUGAAUUUCUAAUAAUGUAACAUCCGCACAAUAUUAUCCUCUAAAACUUUGAAUUCCAACAGCAUCCUUUUUGCGCGACACUGAGCAAUAUCAAUGGUCUCUCCCACCCUUGCUGGGAUGCUCAAGAUUAAUACCUUAUGAGUUGGUCCCAGAAUUGAAUUUGCUUAUAUUUCCUGGUAUAGCCAAGCAACUUAGAAUUGAACUUGACCCAUUCAUUAGUAGCAGAAUCUGUUAUAAAUUAUGGCUACUCAGCAAAAAGGAGAAGAUGAUCAACAAGCAAUACAUGUAGAGAUGCAAGGGACAGGCUCAUCUAAUGGUAGCUGGGUGGGAAGGAUCCAAGAACAGUAUAUCAAGAUCAAAGAGAAUGCAGAAACUUACCCUUAUGUCUGGGGUUCGUAUAUUGUUGUGUACGGAGGAUUUGGCCUCUGGUUUGCCUACAGAUGGAGAAAACUCCACAAAACUGAAGAUAGAGUCCGAGUUCUUCAAGAGCAGCUCCGCAAGCUCGUGGACUCUCAAGAGCCUGGAAGCUCAUCUGGUGCUGCCACUAGCAGAUCACGGCCACCACAUGAUAAACCCACUGAUUAGAUGGUUUAUCAGUUUCUAUACCCUUUCGAAUUGCAUUAUUUUUCGUCUUUCCCUGACUUUUUUCUGAAGUAGAUCUCCACAUUGAAAGUAGAGUCACAACUUAAUCUUGAAAAUGUCAGGUCAGCUGUUAAGCUGCAUUUCUUGCAUGUUUUGUAAGCCUAAUGUCACAGCACAUAAACAGAGUUUGCAGAAGGAAGCUUGAAUUUCCUUCUGUUAUAGGCUUCUUAUUCCUUGUAUUGUAUUUAAACUGCAUUAUACUUGCAACCUCUUUAAAGAAAUGCACUAUAUUUUUUUUGUGAUUU